CCGGCCCCGCCACAGCGGCGGCACUCCCGGACCGUGCUGAGGGGACGGCGGCCGGGGACCCUGCGCGGCCGCAGCCGGGAGCGCUCGGCGGUUUAAGACAUCCUCAUAGACACUCAUCUGAAUGUAUAGCAAAUGCAGAAAGUACUGAAGACACUCUGAAGCUGCUUUUGGAGACAAAGACUGUCAUAUUUGUGAUAACAUUCCUUUAUGUUGGCAUAAUGUACAAGGAAAGUAAGGGCUUCAUGAAGGCGUGACAUGCAUAAGCACUUUUAACUCCUUCACAGUUGCUCUGUCACAGUAAGGCAAGUUUGGUUUAGUUGAAAGAGUUUAUUCUAGGAACUUGGUCUUUAAGAAGCUACGACAGUGUUUGCACAGCUUGUUGGGAGGUGAAGACAUAUGCAUAUGCCUCUGGCGUAGUUAUAUUCAUUUUUCUCUCAAUUAUAUCUAUCUUCUACUCUGCACAAUGGUUACUUUCCGGGAAAAAAUUUUACACUUGGUUAAGUGUUUUAGAAAACAAUGGCCUUUAUUUUCCAACUCUGAAAGGACUACUGUGUGUGGAGCAGACUGCAUGUUGAUGGCGUUACAACUGUCCAUGGCUGAAGUCAAUAAACAGUACCAUGGAGACUUCACAGUAUCACUUAGUGAUGUGUUGGAAACUUGGAAUUAUUUGUUACGUGACAAACUGGGAUUAUAUGAAAACAUGAAAGAACCUGAAAAUUUUGCAGAAGUGAAAAAAGGCUAUCAUGCCUUCUUAGCAAGAAGCAAUAUGUUAGAUUUAAUAGACAUAUAUCAGAAGUGCUGUAGUCUUGGACUUUUAGCUGAAGAUGAAAGCAUAUCUCCUGUUCAAUUGUUGGAAUUUAUUUCUGGUGUAACGAAUGCACAAGAAGAUAAUGGUUCCGUUCUUUCUGCUCCUAUGCAAAUCAACAGACGGGGCCAGGAGGAUAUGAAGGUGACAAUCCUGGCAAAGAAGUCUGUCUGUUCAUAUUUAAGCCUUUUGGUGAAUUCUAAGGAUGAUGUGGCAUUGGCUCAUAUUCUAAAUGUUCCUGACAGAGGACUUGGUAGAGAAGCCUUCACUAACCUGAAACAUGUCUCGCAGGAGAGAAAAAUGUCCAUUUUCUUGAUGGCAACAUCUUUUAUCCGGACCAUAGAACUUGGAGGAAGAAACUCUGCAUCUUCUUUGUAUGAUCCUUUAAGAGCACAUGUAAAAGGGCUUUCCAGCUUUGUUAAUUUUAUUGACAAGCUGCAAGAAAUUGUUGGUGAAAUCUUAAAUACAAGAAUCGCAGGGGGGCGAAUUCUGUCAACAGUGAAGAUGCAUUUGAUAAAAGGCCGAAGCAAUGGGGAUCCUUUCUGUCAGGCAGUAGAGGAAGUUGUACAAGAUUUGGAUUUGAAGAUUAAAAAUAUUAUCGAUUCACAACAGGAAGCCUUGACUGCUAGCACUACUGGAGUCAGUCCAGCACGGCCAAAAUUGCAUUCCAUAAAUCAUGGCACUGCAUAUUGUGGCAGAGAUACUGUAAAGGUCUUGCUAGCUCUUCUGGAUGAAGAGGCUGUCAAUCCUCCUACACAGAACAAAGCAGAUCUGUUGUGUGACAAUGAAAGCUUAAAUUUGUGUGGCAUCACCUCUGUUUUGACUCUCUUUAGAUCUCCAGCACGAUCCAAUGGAUCUUCUCCAAAACCUCUUAGACAACGUAUUCUGAAGUCCAUGGAUGAAAAAGUAAUUAAGAUGAAGCAACCUUCAAUUAAAUCCCAGUUUGCCUGUACAUAUAAAAAUGAUUUGAGUGAAAUGAGUGGUCAGCAUUCCCAUGCAAUUCCAACCUGCAAACAUCCUGUACCAAAGCAACAUUUAGAAGCUGAAAAGUGCACAGGGCUUGGAACUAUUUCUGAAAGUGUUCACCAGACUAGAAGUUAUACAGAGAUGGGAAAGCUGAGUUGUCAGCCAAGGAACAAGAACUCUGGGAAUGAACAGAUGGAUUUGAAUAACGGCAAAAUAAUCUGUGACAAGGAAAGUGAACCAUCUUUGCAAAAAAUUACUAAAAGACUUAAGACUUCAGACAGCUCUAAGAAGGAAUUGGACAGCAAAACUGGUGGAAAAAGAAAACAGACCAAAGCUGCAAGUAAGAAUAAGCUGAUUGCUGGUCAGGCAAAACUAACUCGCUUUUUUCAACUCUAAGUUUUUGUUUUCACAUACAGGCUAUGUUGACACUUAUAAAAUACUGCAAGAAAAGAGGUGAAAUUCAUUAAUUACUUCCUUUCAUACAUAAAUAACUGAAAGCCGCUUGUGUAUUAUAUUAGACAACUACUUACAAGUCUGGAUUAUGCUGAAGUAUUUUAUUUUUUAAUAACAAUACAUUGUUAAUAAUUACACUGUUACUUUUGGUAAUGAAUUAUGUAUUCCUCUGCAAUGCAAUCCAAAAAAUUAUUUUUGGAUGCAUAUGUACAGCUAUGUUAACACUCAGUAACUUCAAAUUACAUUAAAUUCAGAAUGAAAUGUUUAAUCUUCAGAGAUGGUGAGAGAUGAGUAGUUUUCACACUUGCCAACAAGGUCGAUAGACUCUUCCCAGCAUACACCUGAGGACUAGAGGGGGGAAAAAAAGAGAGCCUGAAAGUUUAAAUCAUCAAAGAACCAUAAUUCUUAUGGCUUCUGGAAAUAUUAAUUUAACAAAUGCUUCCUCCCCCAUGCACCAAAUCAUAACAAUAAUGAGUCUCUAAAUGUACCUUUACCAAAUCGCUAUAUUGACAUUGCAGUGUACUUUACCAGAAUGAAAUAAUUGUUUGUGUAAAAAUAAAAUAUAUUUACUGUCAAAAUCUCUUCUUCCUAUAGGAAAUUUAGCUGAAUUUUCUUCCUCUGUGGUCUCUCUUUCCUGUAUUGACUCAAUAUUUUGAAUUUCAGUGUCAACUGGAAAAGCCAUGGUUCCCUUCAGUGCAGGAUAAGGUAGUUGAUUUCUACCUAAGUUGAUUGGCGUAACAUGAUUGAAGAAAUCAUGUCUGGAACCUCUGUCCUGUUUUGAGGGAAGACAAGAUGUUUAUCUUUAAAGUCAGUUGUGUUCACACACAUUUUGUACUUUAUACUUCAAAAAUGCAGUUAUUUUAUGUUUCAGAAUCAUAUCUUAAAAGUAAUGAUAUGCAUUACAUCUUUGGCAAAAAUGGUUUAAUGGACAUAAUUAAAUGAGGAGUCUUGUGUUUGGCAAAGUUAAAAACCUAUUGCUGCAUAUGGGGGCAUGCAUCAACUAUAAAUACAGGUUCCUUCUCCUCCCCUCCCACACCCCUCCUCCCCUCCCCUCCUCCCCCAUAUCCUCCAAAUUUUGGCUACUAUCUCUGGAAAUCAGAUUUAAUUGAACUCUCAAAGUUAUGCAUUUAGAAUCUUUGCAUUGGAUAUAUAGAGUUUAAAUUUUAUUUUCUUUACUAUGUUAUGUAAACUGGUGUUUUUGUGUAUUUACCUGGUUAUUGCUUUAAAUUGUUGUACUUUUUUUUCUAAAAAGGUAUAAAUGAAUUUCAGUUUUACGAUUAAGCCAAAAUUCAAAACUGAACUCACCGAAAACUUCAUGUUUCCAGCAUUCUUAUCAUUGAAAACACUGCGGUCUUCAGUCUUGUAGUACUUGAGCAAAGGGAUUUUGAAACUGAAAACAGAAAACCUUGAGAAAAGAGAGAGAGAAAGGAGAGCAUUAGGAUAUAUGAUGAGAUGUACAUUUUUUAGUUAUUUAACGCUUGCAUAGAGGUUCGUCACUUCUCAAAUUCUAAGAACUUUUCCAGUGGUAAAUAAUUGUUUUCCAUUCCUGUAAUGGCACACUUUAUAUAUUUUACAGGUUGAAUGGAAACUACUUCAGUGGCUGAUGAGUUCAUUCUUUUAAAAUGACUCAUAUUGAGGAGUAACCUUUUCUAUAAUCCUUCUAAUCCCACCUGUUUAGAACUACAACAUUUCUUUGUCGUACCUAAUUUGUUUCUUUGUAUGUUUUUAGAAGGGAUUAGUUCCCUUUGGUGGAUCAGUAUAACAAAGUUCACAGAGAAAGUGAUGUCCAUUUGUGUUUAUAAAGAAUUACCUCUGGUUAAGGCAAUUUAAGAAGAGGAACUCAUCUACAUAAGUAAGGAGGACUGUUGUAAAGGUGUAAUGUAUCAUAGCUUUUGAUCAAAACUGGAUUCACUGGAGAGCUGAAAUUCUUGAGCUUUGAUGAUAGCUUAGCUACCAUGUUAAAGCUGAAAUAAUUAAUUUGUAUUUUGAUGUCUGUUAUGUCAGGUUGCUUUAUACAGAGUGAACGGUUAGAAAUAUUUAUUAGCACCUCAUUAACAUUUGUAUUUUCUUAUUGAAAGUGGACCUUUCUCUUCUACAAAUAUAACAUAGUCAAAUAUGCUUGCUAAUAAUGUAGAAAGAAAAGUAAACUUCAGUUUUUAGUUUAAAAUGUCUUUGAAAUGUAUCUAUUACCCUGUGGAAGGAAAUGUAGAAGUUUCUGCAUACUGUUGUUGUUGUGUGGGGAUGGUUUGUUGUUGUUGGCUGUUUUUGUUUCAUUUAGGGUUUUUCUGCCUUGGCUGGAAAGCAAAUAGGGUCAGCUGAAAUUUAGCUUAUCUCUUUGUCAGUGAUAGAAACAUUCAGUGGUUGUGUGCCUCUUAGCUAGUACUUCAUGUUUUAUCCUUUAGCCUAAUGGGGGGAACUAAACAUGCUACUAUUCAAGGCAAAGCAUUGGGAAACUGGCCAGUGUUCCCUGCUAAACUUUGUGGAAAAGCACCUGCCUUUCCAAAGUACCUUCUUGGUAAGAUGUUUCAUAGGAAAAUAUGUCAUGCUGGACUAAGCAGAUUUUGACUCAGAAACAUUUUUGGUACCCUCUUUUCUCCAAAUGAGGAAAGUGCAUUUAAUCCUUUCCAGGCAAAGCAUCUUUCACAAACAGAAUUGUUGCUUCCUAUUGUUUUCAUUUCCUUGCUGUAGAGCUUGUACUUGCCUUUGGGCAAUUGAAAUGUUUUCUUUCCUUUGACUUUAAUUGCCUGGCUACAGAGGAGACAAAUUUGAGAGUUGAUUGUAUAUGGUUUGAUAUUUCUCAUCCAAU